ACUGGGAUAACUUCGGGAAACCGAAGCUAAUACCGGAUAGGAUCUUCUCCUUCAUGGGAGAUGAUUGAAAGAUGGUUUCGGCUAUCACUUACAGAUGGGCCCGCGGUGCAUUAGCUAGUUGGUGAGGUAACGGCUCACCAAGGCAACGAUGCAUAGCCGACCUGAGAGGGUGAUCGGCCACACUGGGACUGAGACACGGCCCAGACUCCUACGGGAGGCAGCAGUAGGGAAUCUUCCGCAAUGGACGAAAGUCUGACGGAGCAACGCCGCGUGAGUGAUGAAGGCUUUCGGGUCGUAAAACUCUGUUGUUAGGGAAGAACAAGUACGAGAGUAACUGCUCGUACCUUGACGGUACCUAACCAGAAAGCCACGGCUAACUACGUGCCAGCAGCCGCGGUAAUACGUAGGUGGCAAGCGUUAUCCGGAAUUAUUGGGCGUAAAGCGCGCGCAGGCGGUUUCUUAAGUCUGAUGUGAAAGCCCACGGCUCAACCGUGGAGGGUCAUUGGAAACUGGGGAACUUGAGUGCAGAAGAGAAAAGCGGAAUUCCACGUGUAGCGUUGAAAUGCGUAGAGAUGUGGAGGAACACCAGUGGCGAAGGCGGCUUUUUGGUCUGUAACUGACGCUGAGGCGCGAAAGCGUGGGGAGCAAACAGGGAUUAGAUACCCUGGUAGUCCACGCCGUAAACGAUGAGGGCUAAGUGUUAAAGGGGUUUCCGCCCUUUUAGGUGCUGCAGCUAACGCAUUACGCACUACCGCUCUGGGGGGAGGUACGGGUCGGCAAGAUUGAAAUCUCAAAGGGAAUAGACGGGGGGCCCGCACCAUUCGGGUGGCAGCAUGUGGCUUGAAAAUCCGAAGGCAACCCGGAAGUAUCCUUAGCAGGGUCUGGACAUCUUCUGGACAACUCUAGUAGAUAGAGCGUACCCUCAGGUACAAG
rnacentral:rRNA from 1 species